rnacentral:lncRNA from 1 species
GCCUGAAGGACUUCCGGGAACCGCAAAGCACGGUGUGCCUCCGCUGUCCUGAAGAAAAAGCCGCGCGCGGACGACUGGCCGGCCCGCGCUUGCAGCUCCCAGAAGUUGACAGGCAUCCUCCGGUGACCGGUGUGAGUAUGGCAUCAGGAUGAUUUGACUGCAAGCAACAGAAAAAUCAAACAAAAAUGGCCUAAGCCAAGAAGAGAAAUGAUUAUUUCACAUUCCAAGAAGUUUGGGAGUCGAGUGGUUAAACGGCUAAUUAAUCUAGAGCUCAACAGUAUCACCCAGGACCCAUUUUCACUAUGGUGGCUAAAGCUCUGCACCCUUCAGGCUUGCACCAUGGCAGCAGCAGUGACAGUAAAGACACCCUUACACCACAAUGCUCCAUGACCAGGGAGAGGGUCUCCUCUCUCCUGCCCCUUUCUGGAGGCUCCACCGAAGAUUUCUCUUCACAUUCCGUUUCUCAUUCCUGAAGCAGUUGCUGGCAACAGGGAUGGACUUACCGCAAUGGGUACAGAGCAACUAAGAUUCACCACUAGGUGAGUCCUUUGGAAAACACUUGGCCAUCCAAUAUAUAAACAAAUCUGGUACUCCUGUCAGGAAAGAGUCUCGCUCUGUCACCCAGGCUGGAGUGCAGUGGUACAAUCUCAGCUCACGGCAAACUCGGCCUUCUAGAUUCACGCCAUUCUCCUGCCUCAGCCUCCCAAGUAGCUGGGACUACAGGCACCCACCACCUGGCCUGGCUAAUUUUUUUUGUAUUUUUAGUAGAGACGGGGUUUCACCAUGUUAGCCAGGAUGCUCUCGAUCUCCUGACGUCGUGAUCCGCCAGCCUCGGCCUCCCAAAGUGCUGGGAUUACAGGCGUGAGCCACAGCGCCCGGCCAAUUUCACAAAUAGAUUUUUUUUCUUACUGUAAAUCUUAGCAAGCUCAGCAUACGAAUUUUUUUUUCCUUAAAUUGAAAGCUUUUACCCUUUCACUUAAAGGCAGCACUUUAUGGCUUCUCUUGGGCAUAUCCAAAUUGCUACCAUCACUACUCGUAUUAGUCCAUUUUCACGCUGCUGAUAAAGACAUACCUGAGACUGAGAAAUUUACCAAAUAAAGAGGUGUACUGGACUUACAGUUCCACAUGGCUGGGGAGGCCUCACAAUCAUGGUGGAAGGCAAGAAGGAGCAAGUCAUGUCUUACAUGGAUGGCAGCUGGCAAAGAGAAAGCUUGUACAGGGAGACUCCCGUUUUGAAAACCAUCAGAUCUUGUGAGACUCAUUCACUAUUACAAGAACAGUGCAGGAAAGAUGCACCCCUGUACUUCAAUCACCUCCCAGCAGGUUCCUCCCACGACAUGUGGGAAUUGUGGGAGUUACAAUUCAAGAUGAGAUUUGGUUGGGGACACAGCCAAACCAUAUCACUACUCUUGUGCUUUGGGGCCAUUAUGAAGUAAAACAAGCAUUAUUUGAACACAAGAACUGCAAUACCACCACAGUAGAUCUGAUAACUGUUGGCUACUAAGUGACUAAGGGGCAGGUGAAGUAUACAGCUUGGAUGCGAUGGACAAAGAGGAAGAUCUACCUCCCAGCUGGGAUGGAGCAGGACGAUGCAAGAUUUCAUCACACUACUCAGAAAGGCAUGCAGUUUAAAGCUCGUAAAUUAUUUCAGGAAUUUUCCAUUUAAUAUUUUCAGGCUGUGGCUGACCGUGAGUAACAAACCCAGGAAAGCGAAACUGCAGAACAGUGGAUGGGAGAAAGGGUGAAUUACUGUAUAUUCAUGAGGGAUAUUAGUCCAUAGUUUCUUUUUUCCCUUUUAACAAAUUUUUGGGUUUUGUAUAUAGUUUGUCUGGUUUUGGUAUCAGGGUAAUACUAGCUUCAUAAAAUGAAUUGGAAAGCGUUUCUUCUGUUUUCCUAAAAAGAUUAUAUGGAAUUAGCAUUCAUUCUUUAAACACUUGGUAGAAAUCUUAAGUAAAACCAUCUGAGCUCGGAGAUUUUUUUGUGUGUGUUAUAAAAUUACAUAUUCAGUUUCCUUAAUAUUUAUAAGAUCAUUUUAAUUAUCUGUGUUUUUCAGUGAAACGGGUCAAUUUUCUGUAUGUUGUCAAAUUAAUAUUUGUAGAAUUGUAUUAGUAUUCUUCAUUAUCCUUUUGAUGUCUGCAGAAUCUGUAAUGGUAUCCCUGUUUUAUUUCUGAUAUUAAUUUGUGCCAUUAUGUCUUUUUUUCUUUGUUGAUCUUGUCAGAAGUUUGUCAAUUUUAUCAAUUUGUUCCAAGAACCAGCUCAUU